UCUCCGUUGGUGAACCAGCGGAGGGAUCAUUAUCGAGUUUAUAACUCCCAAACCCUAUGUGAACUUACCACUUGUUGCUUCGGCGCGCGCUUCGGUGCCGCCGAGGACACUUAAACUCUUUGUUUUUAUAAGCAUUUCUGAGUGGCCGAAAGGCAAAAUACAAAUGAAUCAAAACUUUCAACAACGGAUCUCUUGGUUCUGGCAUCGAUGAAAAACGCAGC
rnacentral:misc_RNA from 1 species